rnacentral:rRNA from 1 species
GACGAACGCUGGCGGCGUGCUUAACACAUGCAAGUCGAGCGGUAAGGCCCUUUCGGGGUACGACGAGCGGCGAACGGGUAGGAGUAACACGUGGGUGACCUGCCCUCCAGCUCUGGGAGUAAGACCUCGGGAAACCGGGGUACGUAAUAACUGGAUAUGACUCCAUGACGCAUGUUGUGGGGUGGGAAAGACCUUGUGCGGCUGAGGAUGGGCCCGGCGGCCUAUCAGCUUGUUGGUGGGGUGAGGCCUACCAAGGCGACGACGGGUAGCCGGCCUGAGAGGGCGACCGGCCACACUGGGACUGAGACACGGCCCAGACUCCUACGGGA